rnacentral:rRNA from 1 species
UUUUUAAUGAAAUAAUAUUAAAUCAUACCUGCUCAAUGUCAAAUAAAUAGCCGCAGAAAUUUACUGUGCUAAGGUAGCAUAAUCAUUAGUUUUUUAAUUAAAAACCAGAAUGAAAGGUCCAACAUCCCACUAUCUUUUUCAAUUUUAAAAAUAAAAAUUUUAUUAAAUAUAAAAAUAUAUUUUAUAUAAAAAAAAGACGACAAGACCCCGUCGAACUUAACUUCAGUUAAGCUGGGGAAGCUAAUUAAUUAAAAUUUUAAUAAACAAAAAAAAAUGACCCAAUAAAAUUGAAAAACAGAUCAAGUUACCGCGGGGAUAACAGCGUAAUAAUUUUCUAAAGCUCUAAUUUAAAAAAAAGUUUGCGACCUCGAUGUUGAAUUAAUAAACUUUAAAACGCAAGAGUUUUAAAAGUGGGUCUGUUCGACCCUUAAAUUCUUACA